GACGAACGCUGGCGGCGUGCUUAACACAUGCAAGUCGAACGGAAAGGCCCUGCUUUUGUGGGGUGCUCGAGUGGCGAACGGGUGAGUAUCACGUGAGUAACCUGCCCUUGUCUUUGGGAUAACUUCAGGAAACUGGGGCUCAUACCGGAUAGGAUCUCCUGCUGCAUGGUGGGGGUUGGAAAGUUUCGGUGGUAGGGGAUGGAGUCGCGGCUUAUCAGCUUGUUGGUGGGGUAGUUGCUGACCAAGGUUUUGACGGGUAGCCGGCAUGAGAGGGUGACCGGCCACAAUGGGACUGAGAGACGGCGCAGUCUCCUACGGGAGGCAGCAGUGGGGAAUAUUGCACAAUGGGCGGAAGCCUGAUGCAGCAACGCCGCGUGCGGGAUGACGGCCUUCGGGUUGUAAACCGCUUUCGCCUGUGACGAAGCGUGAGUGACGGUAAUGGGUAAAGAAGCACCGGCUAACUACGUG
rnacentral:rRNA from 1 species